AUGAAGGCCAACGUAGACAACCUAAAGCCGCUCCAGGUCGGCAUGGCCGUCUGCGACCACCAAGGCCAGCAGGUAGCCUGGGAGUUCAACCUCCGCGACUUCUGCCGCCUCGCCGACCCGCACGACGACAAGGCCCUCGACUACACCUCGCCCGCCGCGGCCUCGACCUCGACACGCUCCGCAACUAGGGCGUCGACGCCUACGUGCUCGGCUUGCUGCUCAUGGGCUCCGGCCUCAUCGGCGCCGGACACGGGCGGCCGCUGUCGUGGAUCACCCACGCCGGUGCCUACCACGUGGCGUACCUCCUCAAGAUUGUCAUGGGCGGCGCCCCGCUGCCGAACGACGUGGCCGGGUUCCUCGGCGCCAUGCGGCACUACCUCGGCCAGCAGGUCUUCGACGUUGCCACCAUGGCGGCCGGCUGCCCGGGCAUGCCGGUGGGGCUGGACCUCAUCGCCGCUAACCUGCGCAUCCAUCCGCCGUGGGGUAGCCCUCGCCUCGCAGGCGCCGCCGGCGUGCGCGCGCUUCUGGCCUUCAGUAUUUUGA
rnacentral:rRNA from 1 species